rnacentral:rRNA from 1 species
UAGGGAAUAUUGGACAAUGGUCGGAAGACUGAUCCAGCCAUGCCGCGUGAGGGAUGAAGGUCCUCUGGAUUGUAAACCUCUUUUAGCAGGGGAUAAACCGGCGCUACACGCGCCGCUGAAGGUACCUGCAGAAUAAGCACCGGCUAACUCCGUGCCAGCAGCCGCGGUAAUACGGAGGGUGCAAGCGUUGUCCGGAUUUAUUGGGUUUAAAGGGUGCGUAGGCGGACCUAUAAGUCAGUGGUGAAAUCCCGCAGCUUAACUGUGGAAUUGCCAUUGAUACUGCAGGUCUUGAAUAGGGUCGAGGUAGUUGGAAUACGUGGUGUAGCGGUGAAAUGCUUAGAUAUCACGUAGAACACCUAUUGCGAAGGCAGAUUACUGGGCCCUUAUUGACGCUGAGGCACGAAAGUGUGGGGAGCGAACAGG